UACGUAGGGUGCAAGCGUUAAUCGGAAUUACUGGGCGUAAAGGGCGCGUAGGCGGCCUUCUAAGUCGAACGUGAAAUCCCCGGGCUCAACCCGGGAACUGCGUCCGACACUGGAAGGCUUGAAUCCGGGAGAGGGAUGCGGAAUUCCAGGUGUAGCGGUGAAAUGCGUAGAUAUCUGGAGGAACACCGGUGGCGAAGGCGGCAUCCUGGACCGGCAUUGACGCUGAGGCGCGAAAGCCAGGGGAGCAAACGGG
rnacentral:rRNA from 1 species